rnacentral:rRNA from 1 species
AACGAACGCUGGCGGCAUGCCUAACACAUGCAAGUCGAACGAGACCUUCGGGUCUAGUGGCGCACGGGUGCGUAACGCGUGGGAACCUGCCCUUAGGUUCGGAAUAACUCCCCGAAAGGGGUGGUAAUACCGGAUAAUGUCUUCGGACCAAAGAUUUAUCGCCUUUGGAUGGGCCCGCGUUGGAUUAGCUAGUUGGUAGGGUAAAAGCCUACCAUGGCGACGAUCCAUAGCUGGUCUGAGAGGAUGAUCAGCCACACUGGGACUGAGACACGGCCCAGACUCCUACGGGAGGCAGCAGUGGGGAAUAUUGGACAAUGGGCGAAAGCCUGAUCCAGCAAUGCCGCGUGAGUGAUGAAGGCCUUAGGGUUGUAAAGCUCUUUUACCCGGGAUGAUAAUGACAGUACCGGGAGAAUAAGCUCCGGCUAACUCCGUG